GAUGAACGCUGGCGGCGUGCCUAAUACAUGCAAGUCGAGCGAACAGAUGAGGAGCUUGCUCCUCUGACGUUAGCGGCGGACGGGUGAGUAACACGUGGAUAACCUACCUAUAAGACUGGGAUAACUUCGGGAAACCGGAGCUAAUACCGGAUAAUAUAUUGAACCGCAUGGUUCAAUAGUGAAAGACGGUUUUGCUGUCACUUAUAGAUGGAUCCGCGCCGCAUUAGCUAGUUGUUAAGGUAACGGCUUACCAAGGCAACGAUGCGUAGCCGACCUGAGAGGGUGAUAGGCCACACUGGAACUGAGACACGGUCCAGACUCCUAAGGGAGGCAGCAGUAGGGAAUCUUCCGCAAUGGGCGAAAGCCUGACGGAGCAACGCCGCGUGAGUGAUGAAGGUCUUCGGAUCGUAAAACUCUGUUAUUAGGGAAGAACAAAUGUGUAAGUAACUAUGCACGUCUUGACGGUACCUAAUCAGAAAGCCACGGCUAACUACGUG
rnacentral:rRNA from 1 species